AUUUUUUCUUCUUCUUUUUUUG
rnacentral:sRNA from 1 species